AAGGGUGAGAAUCCCGUCUUUGACCGGACUGCCAAGGCUUUGUGGUGCGCUCUCAAAGAGUCGAGUUGUUUGGGAAUGCAGCUCAAAAUGGGUGGUAAAUGCCAUCUAAAGCUAAAUACAGGCGAGAGACCGAUAGCGAACAAGUACCGUGAGGGAAAGAUGAAAAGAACUUUGGAAAGAGAGUUAAACAGUACGUGAAAUUGCUGAAAGGGAAACGCUUGAAGUCAGUCGCGUUGGCUGGGAAUCAACCUUGCUUUUGCUUGGUGUACUUUCUGGUCGACGGGUCAGCAUCAGUUUUGACCAGCGGAUAAAGGCAUGGGAAAUGUGGCAUCUUCGGAUGUGUUAUAGUCUUGUGGU
rnacentral:rRNA from 1 species